UGGGGAAUUUUGGACAAUGGGGGAAACCCUGAUCCAGCCAUCCCGCGUGUGCGAUGAAGGCCUUCGGGUUGUAAAGCACUUUUGGCAGGAAAGAAACGUCGCGGGUUAAUACCCCGCGAAACUGACGGUACCUGCAGAAUAAGCACCGGCUAACUACGUGCCAGCAGCCGCGGUAAUACGUAGGGUGCAAGCGUUAAUCGGAAUUACUGGGCGUAAAGCGUGCGCAGGCGGUUCGGAAAGAAAGAUGUGAAAUCCCAGAGCUUAACUUUGGAACUGCAUUUUUAACUACCGGGCUAGAGUGUGUCAGAGGGAGGUGGAAUUCCGCGUGUAGCAGUGAAAUGCGUAGAUAUGCGGAGGAACACCGAUGGCGAAGGCAGCCUCCUGGGAUAACACUGACGCUCAUGCACGAAAGCGUGGGGAGCAAACAGGAUUAGAUACCCUGGUAGUCCACGCCCUAAACGAUGUCAACUAGCUGUUGGGGCCUUCGGGCCUUGGUAGCGCAGCUAACGCGUGAAGUUGACCGCCUGGGGAGUACGGUCGCAAGAUUAAAACUCAAAGGAAUUGACGGGGUCGAUANCUGUUUCCU
rnacentral:rRNA from 1 species